GUGCCAGCAGCCGCGGUAAUACGGAGGAUCCAAGCGUUAUCCGGAUUCAUUGGGUUUAAAGGGUGCGUAGGCGGAAUGAUAAGUCAGUGGUGAAAGCCUGCAGCUUAACUGCAGAACUGCCAUUGAUACUGUCAAUCUUGAGUACAUUUGAUGUGGGCGGAAUGUGUCAUGUAGCGGUGAAAUGCUUAGAUAUGACACAGAACACCGAUUGCGAAGGCAGCUCACAAAACUGUAACUGACGCUGAGGCACGAAAGCGUGGGUAUCAAACAGGAUUAGAAACCCGCGUAGUCC
rnacentral:rRNA from 1 species